rnacentral:tRNA from 1 species
GGGUUGGUGGUCUAAUGGCUACCAUUUCUGCUUCAUAAGCAGGAGGUAAUGGGUUCAAUCCCUGUCCCGUCCC